AACGGCCGUACCAUGCUGAAUAUACCGGUUCUCGUUAGAUCACUGAAGUUAAGCAUCAUUGGGCGGUUGGUACCUGGG